AGCAGCGUGGCUCAGUGGAAAGAGCACGGGCUUGGGAGUCAGAGGUCAUGGGUUUGAAUCCCGGCUCUGCCA
rfam:Ornithorhynchus anatinus chromosome 14, whole genome shotgun sequence.